rnacentral:rRNA from 1 species
UGAGGAAUUUUGCGCAAUGGGGGAAACCCGACGCAGCAACGCCGCGUGGGUGAUGAAGGCCUUCGGGUCGUAAAGCCCUGUCGGGCGGGAAGAAGGGGUUUUGGGCAAACAGCCCGAGAUUUUGACGGUACCGCCAGAGGAAGCACCGGCUAACUCCGUGCCAGCAGCCGCGGUAAUACGGAGGGUGCGAGCGUUAUUCGGAAUUACUGGGCGUAAAGCGCGUGCAGGCGGAAGGAGCAGUCUGAUGUGAAAGCCCGGGGCUUAACCCCGGAAGAGCAUUGGAAACCAUCCUUCUUGAGUGCUGGAGAGGAAGGGGGAAUUCCCGGUGUAGAGGUGAAAUUCGUAGAGAUCGGGAGGAAUACCAGUGGCGAAGGCGCCCUUCUGGACAGUCAAACUGACGCUGAGACGCGAAAGCGUGGGGAGCAAACAGG